rnacentral:rRNA from 1 species
CGAACGCUGGCGGCGUGCCUAAUACAUGCAAGUUGAGCGCUGAAGGUUGGUACUUGUACCGACUGGAUGAGCAGCGAACGGGUGAGUAACGCGUGGGGAAUCUGCCUUUGAGCGGGGGACAACAUUUGGAAACGAAUGCUAAUACCGCAUAAAAACUUUAAACACAAGUUUUAAGUUUGAAAGAUGCGAUUGCAUCACUCAAAGAUGAUCCCGCGUUGUAUUAGCUAGUUGGUGAGGUAAAGGCUCACCAAGGCGAUGAUACAUAGCCGACCUGAGAGGGUGAUCGGCCACAUUGGGACUGAGACACGGCCCAAACUCCUACGGGAGGCAGCAGUAGGGAAUCUUCGGCAAUGGACGAAAGUCUGACCGAGCAACGCCGCGUGAGUGAAGAAGGUUUUCGGAUCGUAAAACUCUGUUGGUAGAGAAGAACGUUGGUGAGAGUGGAAAGCUCAUCAAGUGACGGUAACUACCCAGAAAGGGACGGCUAACUACGUG